CUGAAGAAGAAGACGAAGAAAAGGCUUAUCCUUUUACUUGUUUGGAUGGUUCCGGAUUUAAACGGAGUUCCUAAAUUCCGGUACCGAAACUGAUUUGAAGUCCGACAACGUCUCUUAAAUUAAUUCUGCAAAAGGCACGUGUUCUUUGGAGAUGGAUAAUUCGAAGAAAAAAAAGAAUAAAGAAAAUUAAAAAUAAAGAAAAAGAAAGCCAAGGUGGCUAAGAACUGGUGCUGCGUGCAUAUUGGGCGUUGAACUGUUUUGACGCAACGCAAGUAUAUGUUCCGUCUCCACGUGACUCUCCCAUCAUUGUGAAUGUGCCUUUUCUUUUCCUGAGCAACUGUGAAUGUGCCUUUUCCACACUGGUAUUUUUGUGUUUACGCUUACAAUUGGUUUUGUCUUUCUUAAUUUUGCUCCAACAGAUAAUAUAAUAUUGAUUAUGAAGUCCGGAUGAUUCUUCUAUUUGUUGGAAUCACCACCAUACUAUAA